AUGAACGCUGGCGGCGUGCCUAAUACAUGCAAGUCGAGCGCACGGACGAGAAGCUUGCUUCUCUGAUGUUAGCGGCGGACGGGUGAGUAACACGUGGAUAACCUACCUAUAAGACUGGGAUAACUUCGGGAAACCGUAGCUAAUACCGGAUAAUAUUUUGAACCGCAUGGUUCAAAAGUGAAAGACGGUCUUGCUGUCACUUAUAGAUGGAUCCGCGCUGCAUUAGCUAGUUGGUAAGGUAACGGCUUACCAAGGCAACGAUGCAUAGCCGACCUGAGAGGGUGAUCGGCCACACUAGAACUGAGACACGGUCCAGACUCCUACGGGAGGCAGCAGUAGGGAAUCUUCCGCAAUGGGCGAAAGCCUGACGGAGCAACGCCGCGUGAGUGAUGAAGGUCUUCGGAUCGUAAAACUCUGUUAUUAGGGAAGAACAUAUGUGUAAGUAACUGUGCACAUCUUGACGGUACCUAAUCAGAAAGCCACGGCUAACUACGUG
rnacentral:rRNA from 1 species